AGACAGUGGUUGUCAGAUACAGCAAGACAGACAGGAGAAACAUUUGUGGAUGAUAACUGGCGUGACAUUACUGUGAAAAAUGCUCCAAGGCAGCUAGACAGUUGCAGCUGUGGAGUCUACUGUUUAAUGUUAUGUUAUUUUCAACCGUUUUCUAUGUAAAUCUUGCACAACGACUUCUACCAAUCUGUGAACUUUUCAGUACAUGAGACAAAAAGCAGUCACUAAUAUCCAACACUUCUGUGAGAGUGACAUUGAUGAAAUUCGAUCUUGGCUAGUGCAUAGACUAAUAACAUUUUCAGCUCGAAGCGUAACAACUCAGCAAAGGCUCACCUUUGGAAACCAAUACCAAAACCAAAAACUCAAGUGAGAACAUGGAAAGUUUGCAGUCUCAGCUGUUUGAUACCUCGCUGCUGCGACUUUGUCAAACAGCAGCAAGGUCAGAAGAAUGGAGAGCAGAAGAUGACAAUAAUAUGCAUGUAUGUUGUUACAUACAAAUGUGCUUACCUUAGAGGCUGAGCAGGCCAUUUUGUCAUUUCUUGUUGCUCAAAUGCAGAUAAACAUAUGUAAGCAACAAGAAAUGACUG